UACAGAGGGGGCAAGCGUUGUUCGGAAUUACUGGGCGUAAAGGGCGCGUAGGCGGCCUGCUAAGUCGAACGUGAAAUCCCCGGGCUCAACCCGGGAACUGCGUCCGAUACUGGCAGGCUUGAAUCCGGGAGAGGGAUGCGGAAUUCCAGGUGUAGCGGUGAAAUGCGUAGAUAUCUGGAGGAACACCGGUGGCGAAGGCGGCAUCCUGGACCGGUAUUGACGCUGAGGCGCGAAAGCCAGGGGAGUAAACGGG
rnacentral:rRNA from 1 species